rnacentral:rRNA from 1 species
GCCAGACUCCUACGGGAGGCAGCAGUGGGGAAUAUUGCACAAUGGGGGAAACCCUGAUGCAGCGACGCCGCGUGAAGGAAGAAGUAUCUCGGUAUGUAAACUUCUAUCAGCAGGGAAGAAAACAGACGGUACCUGACUAAGAAGCCCCGGCUAACUACGUGCCAGCAGCCGCGGUAAUACGUAGGGGGCAAGCGUUAUCCGGAUUUACUGGGUGUAAAGGGAGCGUAGGCGGCGCGUUAAGUCUGAUGUGAAAACCCGAGGCUCAACCACGGGAGUGCAUUGGAAACUGGCGGGCUGGAGUGCCGGAGAGGUAAGCGGAAUUCCUAGUGUAGCGGUGAAAUGCGUAGAUAUUAGGAGGAACACCAGUGGCGAAGGCGGCUUACUGGACAGUAACUGACGUUGAGGCUCGAAAGCGUGGGGAGCAAACAGGAUUAGAUACCCCAGUAC